rnacentral:rRNA from 1 species
UGGGGAAUAUUGGACAAUGGGCGAAAGCCUGAUCCAGCGAUGCCGCGUGAGCGAUGAAGGCCUUCGGGUCGUAAAGCUCUGUCAGGUGGAACGAAAUGCGGUCGGGAACAAUACCCCGGUCGCUUGACGGUACCGCCGAAGGAAGCACCGGCUAACUCUGUGCCAGCAGCCGCGGUAAGACAGAGGGUGCAAGCGUUGUUCGGAAUUACUGGGCGUAAAGCGCGUGUAGGCCGUUCCGUGUGUCAGAUGUGAAAUACCCGGGCUCAACCCGGGACGUGCAUUUGAAACGGCGGAACUUGAGUAUGGGAGAGGGAAGCGGAAUUCCCGGUGUAGAAGUGAAAUUCGUAGAUAUCGGGAGGAACACCAGUGGCGAAGGCGGCUUCCUGGACCAUAACUGACGCUGAGACGCGAAAGCGUGGGUAGCAAACA